UCACCAUCACGAGCGACCGAGAGACCUUGGCUCGAAGACGUCGCAGCAACCAUGCGGGGAUCCGUCCCCAGCGCAGAGGUGCUCCCGCCAGGACCGAUGGAAA
rnacentral:ncRNA from 2 species